rnacentral:rRNA from 1 species
AGAGAGAGACAUGCGUGCAUAUCAAUAAGCGGAGGAAAAGAAACUAACAAGGAUUCCCCUAGUAACGGCGAGUGAAGCGGGAAGAGCUCAAAUUUGAAAUCUUAAAGGGUUUCCCUUUACGAAUUGUAGUUUAAAGAAGUGUUUUCUGUUGAGGUUUUGGUAAAAGUUCUUUGGAAUAGGACAUCAUAGAGGGUGAGAAUCCCGUAUUUGACCUUUACUUUCAACUUUGUGAUACACUUUCAAAGAGUCGGAUUGUUUGGGAAUGCAGUCCAAAAUGGGUGGUAAAUUUCAUCUAAAGCUAAAUAUUGGCGAGAGACCGAUAGCGAACAAGUACCGUGAGGGAAAGAUGAAAAGAACUUUGAAAAGAGAGUUAAACAGUACGUGAAAUUGUCAAAAGGGAAGCGUUUGACACCAGUGUUGUUUUUCUGAAAAUCAAUUAAAGAACUGUUUAUGCUAAGUUGUUUAGACUUUAUCAGCUAUCUGUUUAGUUUUGAGCUUUUCUUUAAUGCACUUUUCAGUUAACAAGUCAACAUCAAUUUCUUUUGCUGUAAAAAAGCUUGAGGAAGGUGGCUUGAGAUUCGUCUUAAGUGUUUAUAGCCUCUUGCCUAUGCAGUCGGAGAGAUUGAGGUCUGCAGCGUAGAUCCUUCGGGGCUAAAUGCAUUUGUGCUAAGUUGAUAGCAUUUUAUAGACAACUUGUUGACUAUGAUUUGUCUUGUAGCUUACUCGCUUAUGUUAUUUUACCUACGCUUAGGAUGUUGACGCAUGAGAUAUACGC